ACUCCUACGGGAGGCAGCAGUGGGGAAUAUUGCACAAUGGGCGCAAGCCUGAUGCAGCAACGCCGCGUGAGCGAUGAAGGCCUUCGGUCGUAAAGCUCUGUCCUCAAGGAAGAAUAAAUGACGGUACUUGAGGAGGAAGCCCGGGCUAACUACGUGCCAGCAGCCGCGGUAAUACGUAGGGGGCAAGCGUUAUCCGGAAUCACUGGGCGUAAAGGGUGCGUAGGCGGUUUUCAAGUCAGAAGUGAAAGGCUAUGGCUCAACCAUAGUAAGCUUUUGAAACUGUUAAACUUGAGUGCAGGAGAGGAAAGUGGAAUUCCUAGUGUAGAGGUGAAAUUCGUAGAUAUUAGGAGGAACACCAGUGGCGAAGGCGACUUUCUGGACUGUAACUGACGCUGAGGCACGAAAGCGUGGGGAGCGAACAGGAUUAGAUACCCUGGUAGCACAGAG
rnacentral:rRNA from 1 species